rnacentral:lncRNA from 1 species
GAAGUCACUUAAUGGACAUUGCUUUCAUGAACGUAUGCAAACUCAAUGACCUUGUUUGAGAUCAUUCGAACUUGAGGCGGAGCGGCCCAGGACAACUUCAUGGCAUCCACGAUUUCCAACUUCCUUUUCUUUGGCAACCUCUCUUUCUUUGCAGAUUCUUUGACUUUGAUACACUUAGAGUCAUCCUUUCUUUUUCUACAAAGAAUUCUGCUUGUUGGUAAAAUUUGGGAGCUCAUUUAUGUCCAAAUUUCAAUAAAUAUAAGAACUUAAGUUAUGCCUUGUUUAUGUUUGUUAAUAUGCCUCAAUGAAGUUCUCUAAUUAAAUAAAUUUGCCAUUGGUCCCAAUAUUUUUCUACAACCCCACUCU